AUUGAACGCUGGCGGCAUGCCUAACACAUGCAAGUCGAACGGGGGUAGCAAUACCCUAGUGGCGGACGGGUGAGGAAUACGUAGGAAUUUGCCCUUAAGUGGGGGAUAGCCCGGGGAAACCCGGAUUAAUACCGCAUGACCUCGUGAGAGCGAAGCAGGGGAUCGCAAGACCUUGCGCUUUUGGAGAAGCCUACGUCGGAUUAGCUAGUUGGUAGGGUAAUGGCCUACCAAGGCAACGAUCCGUAACUGGUCUGAGAGGAUGAUCAGUCACACCGGAACUGAGACACGGUCCGGACUCCUACGGGAGGCAGCAGUGGGGAAUAUUGGACAAUGGGCGAAAGCCUGAUCCAGCAAUGCCGCGUGUGUGAAGAAGGCCUUCGGGUUGUAAAGCACUUUAGGUUGGGAAGAAAAAACUCGGGCUAAUACCCUGAGUCUUGACGGUACCGACAGAAUAAGCACCGGCUAACUCUGUGCCAGCCGCCGCCGUAAAAC
rnacentral:rRNA from 1 species